CAAAUUUCAGCACCAUUUGGACUCAUGGGGGCGUCGUUUGACUUGCAAAGGACAGAGGAGCAUGCUUCCAAGUCUGCCUGCUCCGGAUUAUCUGGGUCUUCAAGUGAGUGCUCAGCUUUAUCUAAAUCUUGAGGUUCACACUUUCAUCCAGCUCUUCCUGGCUCAAAAAGGCAGAAAGAUCUGGAAGGUCAUCUUGGCCAGCCACCUCGUCUGAAGUCCCAGAAGUAUUG